AAGGGAUUCAGUGUGCCGUUGCUGGCUCUGAGAAGUAGGAGCCUUGUGCAAGGAUUCAGGAGAGGCCUCUAGAAACUGAGGAUGGCCCUCAACUGGCAAGCACAGGCAACUGAAUUCGGCCAGGCAUCUGGGUCCUGUGCUAGGGGCUAGGAAGACAAAGAGAAACAGAGUCACAUCCUCCCACAAAAAUCCAUGAGAUGUCGGAGAGCCGAACUUGUAAACAGCCAUCAUCAACACAAAGAAGGAUGCACUGAUGCUCUCUAGAGGCUCACAGGAAAUGAUUCAUGGGCAUAGAGGAUAAGCACCAUCUUUGGAAGCACGGCCUCAAGAUGAUGACAUGGAGGGGACUCACACUUACAGGUAGGGGAGCUUCAGGUCUGCCGGCCCUCUCCUCCCUCCUUGUCACCCCUCAACCUCUGGGCUGCCCUUUGGGCUCAUAACAAUGGAUCUCAGAGCCCAAGGAGGUUGGGCUUCCACUCUGGGGGACUCUGGAAGCUCCUGGGUUAACUACUCUCAGGGCUCUGGUUUUCUCCAUGUAGAUAAAAUACUUGAUUUCUUGGAACAAUUUUUCUUUCUCAGUCUGAGGGCUCUG
rnacentral:lncRNA from 1 species